UCUCUGUUAUACAAGAGUCAGUCACACACAAGGCUCAUGGCAUGUCAUCAGACAUUUCUCUCAUCUGGCAAAAACACGUAGAUUAAAUAAUUGCAAUAUCGCAAAAUCGAGACUGCUAAUAUUGUCACGUCAUCGGAAUUAAACUAGGAAUUUGGAAAAAUUGAGGGCAAUAAUUCAGAUUGAAGGUGCAAAGUGCUGGGGAAAUUCUGAAAUUCUUAAACUAGUCUUUGGUUGGACAUUUCCUCCAGGUUUUUCAAGUCCAAUAGUCCGAAGACCUUUUUUACUUGCAGGGUGUGCAUAAUUUAUUUGUCGGUGGCUCCACUCUUUAUUAAGGGAGAAAGUUUUACGCUGAACAAUUUUUAUGGUUUAUGACAGUAAAAUUAUCAGUAUUAGAAAAUAUAUAUUAGUAUUAUUACAUGUGAGGGAUUCAUUUUUUAAGGCUAUUUUUACCGUUCACCAUUACAAGAAUAACCUAAUUUAACAGAACCUUUUUUAAAGUUGGGAUUAACCAGGUUUACUAAGUGCGUAGAAGAAAUUCUUGACGGUAAUAGGAUUAAUUAUUGAAUUUUGACCCUUGGUGAUUUGCCCUGUUAUGACCCAUUCUUCCAAUCACGCGUUGCUAUUUACCAAGAACUCCAAUAAAUAUUCCGCCUUGAUGACUUCAAUUUCUGGAUUGUCGGCAUCGAUUCCACUCCUCCACGAAAUUUCUCCUAUCGACAAUAUUUGUCACCACCAUCAGUAUCAUAUAUACCUGUGUAAACUACCUCUACUCGAUAUACCAUAAUUAACUAGGAACGAAUUUAACAGUUUAAAUUAAGUAGGCAAGCAAUUUUUAGUAGAUAGAUCGCACUACGUCGUAAAUAGGGAAAUUUAGGGAAAAAAUGUCAAAUAUAGCCGGGGGAGGAGGAGGAGGUAGUGGUGAAAAUGAGGCAUCCACUCUUGAACCGGCGAAAAAGAGACCGGAAGACUUUAUCUUUGGCAAAAUGGUUGGAGAAGGAAGUUUUUCUUCCGUUUAUCUGGCUAAGGAUGUCAAGACUGGAAAAGAAUAUGCAAUUAAAGUUUGUGAUAAACAGCACAUUAUACGAGAAAAAAAGGCGGAAUCCAUCCGUCGAGAAAAGGAUAUAAUGACCAUUCUUUCUGCAAAUCGAGAUCCAACGGCUCCAUACUUUGUUCAGUUAUAUGCAACAUUCCAAGAUGCACACCGAUUAUUUUUCGUCAUGACCUUUGCUUAUGGGGGCGAAUUAUUAAAGCAGCUUAAUUCCCGUAAAAAGUUUACCAAGAACGUAUCUCGGUUCUAUGGCGGUGAAAUCGUCCAAGCUCUUCGACACAUGCACAAGUUGAAGAUUUGUCACAGGGAUUUGAAACCGGAGAAUAUCUUGUUAAAUGAACAAGGGCAUAUCUUAAUUACCGAUUUUGGGUCUGGCAAGGAGCUCGUUACCAUACCUGUUGCUGCCACACAGGAACCUGCGAAAAAUGGAGAUCCGGAAAAGCCAGUUACGGGAAGAGCACGCAGCAACAGUUUUGUAGGGACAGCCCAGUACGUUUCACCAGAAAUUCUACAGGGACGAUAUUCAGAUGUGGGACCAGCGGCUGAUCUUUGGGCACUAGGCUGCAUCCUGUUUCAAUUCAUGGCUGGGCGUACACCAUUUCAAGCAGCGAGUGAAUUUUUAAUCUUUAAAAAGAUUCUGAGUUUGGACUUUCAGUUUCCUGAAGAAAACUUUGAUGAGGAUUCUAAAGAUAUCAUUUCAAAACUACUGAAACUUCAAUUUACUGAACGACUUGGAGCACAAGACGCUAAAUUUUACACAAGUAUUCAAGAACAUCCAUUCUUUGCUGAGUUGGAUUUCGACACACUUCAUUCACAGCGGGUUCCACUAGCUGAAGAGAACCCUACGGCAGAUUCGCCUACCAGUCCAUUAAGAUUAAUUAAGAUACAAAUUCCUUCAGACUAUGAACCAGGUUUUAACCCAAGAGUAAUUGCGGAACGAUUCCUUCGCAGUUCGAGUGAUGAAGAUUUGCGAUGGGAAGAUCAUCAUGCUCGCGUCUCUUCUGAAGACGGAUCGGAAGGUAGUGGACCCAUUACUCCAUCCAAUGAGAACAACGAUGUCAAUAGUGCAGCUCAAUUGUUAAAUACGAUGAACAUUGACGCCCAAAAUCGAUGCAAUAGCGAAUGCAUUGGGUCACCACCACGAAGGUGUAGUAGGGGCAAAAUGGCGUUCCCUCUUGAUGUUCAAGAACGACUUACGAGACUUGAAGAACAGGCGAAAAGUAAUGAGUGGCACAAGUGUGUUAAAGGGAAUCUGAUUCUAAAACAGGGAUUGGUCACAAAGCGGAAGGGCUUGUUUGCACGACGUCGAAUGCUUCUUCUGACGGAAGGCCCUCAUCUAUUUUACUGCGACCCCAACAACAUGACGGUGAAAGGAGAGAUUCCCUGGUCUAAAAAAUUGAAGCCGGAGGCCAAAGAUUUUAAAGUGUUUAAUAUUCAGACGCCCAACCGCACAUAUAACUUGGAGGACCCUUCAGGAUUCGCUUUAGCGUGGUGUGAGGCAAUCAGUGUCCUUCAUCAACAAACUUAUGGGAACACGGAAUCUAAUUAAUCGAUUCAACGCGACUUACAAAAUUCCAAGAUCUGGUUAAUCAAAAAAAGUCUUAUUUCAACUACAACGAAUAGUCUACGAUGUCCCAUAAUUAACACAAUACGUAUGUAUGAAGGCGAUUUUAAUUGAUAUUUUAUUCAGAAUCAUCUUUUAGAGUUGAAAUAACGUGUAUUACUGACAUUAUUAUUGGACGCAUUUUUGCAAUCAGUUCAGUGUUAAAUUGUUCGAUAAUACAUAUACAUUUGCUUUGUUAAUUAACAAAAACAAACUGUUUUUAUCUUUAAAGAAACCUUAAUAAAGCUUAUGUAUUAAAGUACU